rnacentral:rRNA from 1 species
AUGGCGGGUGCUUACCUGCAAGUCGAACGAACCUUCGGGUUAGUGGCGGACGGGUGAGUAACGCGUGAGAAUCUGCCCUCAGGAGGGGGAUAACGGUUGGAAACGACCGCUAAUACCCCAUAUGCCGCGAGGUGAAAUGAAUUUCGCCUGAGGAUGAGCUCGCGUCUGAUUAGCUAGUUGGUGGGGUAAGAGCCUACCAAGGCUUCGAUCAGUAGCUGGUCUGAGAGGAUGAUCAGCCACACUGGGACUGAGACACGGCCCAGACUCCUACGGGAGGCAGCAGUGGGGAAUUUUCCGCAAUGGGCGAAAGCCUGACGGAGCAACGCCGCGUGAGGGAUGAAGGCCUCUGGGCUGUAAACCUCUUUUAUCAAGGAAGAAGAUCUGACGGUACUUGAUGAAUAAGCCACGGCUAAUUCCGUGCCAGCAGCCGCGGUAAUACGGGAGUGGCAAGCGUUAUCCGGAAUUAUUGGGCGUAAAGCGUCCGCAGGCGGUCUUACAAGUCUGUCGUUAAAGCGUGGAGCUUAACUCCAUUUCGGCGAUGGAAACUGUAAGACUAGAGUGUGGUAGGGGCAGAGGGAAUUCCCGGUGUAGCGGUGAAAUGCGUAGAUAUCGGGAAGAACACCAGUGGCGAAGGCGCUCUGCUGGGCCAUAACUGACGCUCAUGGACGAAAGCUAGGGGAGCGAAAGGGAUUAGAUACCCCUGUAGUCCUAGCCGUAAACGAUGAACACUAGGUGUCGGGGGAAUCGACCCCCUCGGUGUCGUAGCCAACGCGUUAAGUGUUCCGCCUGGGGAGUACGCACGCAAGUGUGAAACUCAAAGGAAUUGACGGGGGCCCGCACAAGCGGUGGAGUAUGUGGUUUAAUUCGAUGCAACGCGAAGAACCUUACCAGGGUUUGACAUCCUGCGAAUCCCUUGGAAACUUGGGAGUGCCUUCGGGAGCGCAGUGACAGGUGGUGCAUGGCUGUCGUCAGCUCGUGUCGUGAGAUGUUGGGUUAAGUCCCGCAACGAGCGCAACCCACGUCUUUAGUUGCCAGCAUUUAGUUGGGCACUCUAGAGAGACCGCCGGUGAUAAACCGGAGGAAGGUGUGGAUGACGUCAAGUCAUCAUGCCCCUUACAUCCUGGGCUACACACGUACUACAAUGCUACGGACAAAGGGCAGCAAACUCGCGAGAGCUAGCCAAUCCCAUAAACCGUGGCUCAGUUCAGAUCGUAGGCUGCAACUCGCCUACGUGAAGGAGGAAUCGCUAGUAAUCGCAGGUCAGCAUACUGCGGUGAAUACGUUCCCGGGCCUUGUACACACCGCCCGUCACACCAUGGAAGUUGGCCACGCCCGAAGUCGUUACUCCAACCCUUGUGGAGGAGGAUGCCGAAGGUGGGGCUGAUGACUGGGGUGAAGUCGUAACAAGGUAGCCGUACCGGAAGGUGCGGCUGGAUCACCUCCUA